AAAGAUCGCAGCCUUCGGCAGCUCCUACAGGGGAUAUGCGUUUCCCUGUAGGAGCUGCCGAAGGCUGCGAUCUUU
rnacentral:misc_RNA from 1 species